CAAAGUCGAGAAACUUCAACAACAACAAAAACGUAUCUCGAAUCCUGAUCCUCGCACCAUUGAGGCACAUAUCGAACUCAUGGAGUCUUAUGAGUCUUUCUACCCACAUUCCACGAUGAUCCGUCACGUCGUGAUCUAAAACCCGACCUUGUAUUCUCUGUAACUUUUGUAUUUUUCUGUAACAAAAACAAAAAAGGGGACUAGGCCGACCCUUAAACAACUGGUCGUGAUCUGAAACCCGAUCACCUGAUGAGCUCAAGGUAGAGCGAAACCAGUCACAUGAUGAUUCUUGAUACUUAGA
rnacentral:hammerhead_ribozyme from 1 species